rnacentral:lncRNA from 1 species
CACUCCUCCCCGAAAUGGUGGAGUGUUUGCCUUGCUCCACUUUCUUCUUGAUGUUAGCCAUUCUGACAGGUGUAAGUUGGUGUGACACAGUAAUUUUGAUUUGCAUUUCCCUGUUGGGGCAAAUUCAUUUAGUUUGGCAUUCAGUUGGAGUAGUAGCAAAUUAGCCUCAAGUGAAUCAGAGACUGGAUUCCCAACUGUGGAGAGCCAGACUGUCUGCCUUUUCUCCUCCAGAGAAUGCCCAAAGAAGCCUUGCCUGAGGGUACAGAGGAUACCCUGGAAAUCCACCUAUGGAGUAUGUCAUGGAGUGAAUCUUGUUCCAGCUCUGCUGCCAGAAGUUUUCAGAAAGGUGACAGAGCCAUCCAAGAGCCUUCAUCCAGCAGCUGAUGGAAGCAGAGGCAGACACCCACAGCUAAACACUGAGCCGAACUCCCUGGAAUCCAGCUUCAGAGGGAGAGGAGUGAUGAGCAAAGUGGUCAAGACCAGGCUAGAGAAACCCACAGAAACAGCUGACGUGAACAAGGGGGAGCUCAUGGACCCCAGACUGAUAGCUGGGAAACCAGCAUUGGACCUACCCAGACCUUCUGAACGUAGGUGUCAGUUAAGAGGCCUGGGCAGUCUAUGGGGCCUCUGGUAGUGGAUCAGUAUUUAUCCCUAGUGCAUGAAUGGACUUUGGGAGCUCUCUCCACAUAGAGGAUUACUCUCUUAGCCUAGACACACUGGGGAUGGCCUAGGCCCUGACCCAAAUGAUAUUACAGACUAGGGAGCAGAAAGGGG